rnacentral:rRNA from 1 species
UUUGGUUAAGUUAGAAAGGGCGCACGGUGGAUGCCUUGACACUAGGAGUCGAUGAAGGACGGGACUAACGCCGAUAUGCUUCGGGGAGCUGUAAGUAAGCUUUGAUCCGAAGAUUUCCGAAUGGGGAAACCCACCAUACGUAAUGGUAUGGUAUCCUUAUCUGAAUACAUAGGGUAAGGAAGACAGACCCAGGGAACUGAAACAUCUAAGUACCUGGAGGAAGAGAAAGCAAAUGCGAUUUCCUGAGUAGCGGCGAGCGAAACGGAACAUAGCCCAAACCAAGAGGCUUGCCUCUUGGGGUUGUAGGACAUUCUAUACGGAGUUACAAAGGAACGAGGUAGACGAAGCGACCUGGAAAGGUCCGUCGUAGAGGGUAACAACCCCGUAGUCGAAACUUCGUUCUCUCUUGAAUGUAUCCUGAGUACGGCGGAACACGUGAAAUUCCGUCGGAAUCUGGGAGGACCAUCUCCCAAGGCUAAAUACUCCCUAGUGAUCGAUAGUGAACCAGUACCGUGAGGGAAAGGUGAAAAGCACCCCGGAAGGGGAGUGAAAGAGAUCCUGAAACCGUGUGCCUACAAAUAGUCAGAGCCCGUUAACGGGUGAUGGCGUGCCUUUUGUAGAAUGAACCGGCGAGUUACGAUCCCGUGCGAGGUUAAGCUGAAGAGGCGGAGCCGCAGCGAAAGCGAGUCUGAAUAGGGCGUUUAGUACGUGGUCGUAGACCCGAAACCAGGUGAUCUACCCAUGUCCAGGGUGAAGUUCAGGUAACACUGAAUGGAGGCCCGAACCCACGCACGUUGAAAAGUGCGGGGAUGAGGUGUGGGUAGCGGAGAAAUUCCAAUCGAACCUGGAGAUAGCUGGUUCUCCCCGAAAUAGCUUUAGGGCUAGCCUUAAGUGUAAGAGUCUUGGAGGUAGAGCACUGAUUGGACUAGGGGUCCUCAUCGGAUUACCGAAUUCAGUCAAACUCCGAAUGCCAAUGACUUAUCCUUAGGAGUCAGACUGCGAGUGAUAAGAUCCGUAGUCAAAAGGGAAACAGCCCAGACCGCCAGCUAAGGUCCCAAAGUGUGUAUUAAGUGGAAAAGGAUGUGGAGUUGCUUAGACAACUAGGAUGUUGGCUUAGAAGCAGCCACCAUUUAAAGAGUGCGUAAUAGCUCACUAGUCGAGUGACUCUGCGCCGAAAAUGUACCGGGGCUAAAUACACCACCGAAGCUGCGGAUUGAUACCAAUGGUAUCAGUGGUAGGGGAGCGUUCUAAGGACAGUGAAGUCAGACCGGAAGGACUGGUGGAGUGCUUAGAAGUGAGAAUGCCGGUAUGAGUAGCGAAAGACGGGUGAGAAUCCCGUCCACCGAAUGCCUAAGGUUUCCUGAGGAAGGCUCGUCCGCUCAGGGUUAGUCAGGACCUAAGCCGAGGCCGACAGGCGUAGGCGAUGGACAACAGGUUGAUAUUCCUGUACCACCUCUUUAUCGUUUGAGCAAUGGAGGGACGCAGAAGGAUAGAAGAAGCGUGCGAUUGGUUGUGCACGUCCAAGCAGUUAGGCUGAUAAGUAGGCAAAUCCGCUUAUCGUGAAGGCUGAGCUGUGAUGGGGAAGCUCCUUAUGGAGCGAAGUCUUUGAUUCCCCGCUGCCAAGAAAAGCUUCUAGCGAGAUAAAAGGUGCCUGUACCGCAAACCGACACAGGUAGGCGAGGAGAGAAUCCUAAGGUGUGCGAGAGAACUCUGGUUAAGGAACUCGGCAAAAUGACCCCGUAACUUCGGGAGAAGGGGUGCUUUCUUAACGGAAAGCCGCAGUGAAUAGGCCCAAGCGACUGUUUAGCAAAAACACAGCUCUCUGCGAAGCCGUAAGGCGAAGUAUAGGGGGUGACACCUGCCCGGUGCUGGAAGGUUAAGGAGAGGGGUUAGCGUAAGCGAAGCUCUGAACUGAAGCCCCAGUAAACGGCGGCCGUAACUAUAACGGUCCUAAGGUAGCGAAAUUCCUUGUCGGGUAAGUUCCGACCCGCACGAAAGGUGUAACGAUUUGGGCACUGUCUCAACCAGAGACUCGGUGAAAUUAUAGUACCUGUGAAGAUGCAGGUUACCCGCGACAGGACGGAAAGACCCCGUGGAGCUUUACUGUAGCCUGAUAUUGAAUUUUGGUACAGUUUGUACAGGAUAGGCGGGAGCCUUUGAAACCGGAGCGCUAGCUUCGGUGGAGGCGCUGGUGGGAUACCGCCCUGACUGUAUUGAAAUUCUAACCUACGGGUCUUAUCGACCCGGGAGACAGUGUCAGGUGGGCAGUUUGACUGGGGCGGUCGCCUCCUAAAGUGUAACGGAGGCGCCCAAAGGUUCCCUCAGAAUGGUUGGAAAUCAUUCGUAGAGUGCAAAGGCAUAAGGGAGCUUGACUGCGAGAGUGACGGCUCGAGCAGGUACGAAAGUAGGUCUUAGUGAUCCGGUGGUUCUGAAUGGAAGGGCCAUCGCUCAACGGAUAAAAGGUACUCCGGGGAUAACAGGCUGAUACCGCCCAAGAGUUCAUAUCGACGGCGGUGUUUGGCACCUCGAUGUCGGCUCAUCACAUCCUGGGGCUGAAGUAGGUCCCAAGGGUAUGGCUGUUCGCCAUUUAAAGUGGUACGCGAGCUGGGUUUAGAACGUCGUGAGACAGUUCGGUCCCUAUCUGCCGUGGGCGUUGGAAAUUUGAGAGGAGCUGUCCUUAGUACGAGAGGACCGGGAUGGACGCACCGCUGGUGUACCAGUUGUUCUGCCAAGGGCAUAGCUGGGUAGCUAUGUGCGGAAGGGAUAAGUGCUGAAAGCAUCUAAGCAUGAAGCCCCCCUCAAGAUGAGAUUUCCCAUAGCGUAAGCUAGUAAGAUCCCUGAAAGAUGAUCAGGUUGAUAGGUUCGAGGUGGAAGCAUGGUGACAUGUGGAGCUGACGAAUACUAAUAGAUCGAGGACUUAACCAUAUAA